CACAGAUGAACUAGUUCACGCUCCACUGACGCACUUCUGUAAGCAAGGUAGCCUGGGUUUCUCAUCCAAUAAGGAGCUUGGCGUCGUUCAGUUUCUAUGAACUUUCUUUACGUAUAUCGUCAUUUGUUGUUGAGUGCAAUUUUCAGAAAAACACAGGGCCAGGACUGUGGGGUGCUCAGUGUUAGCUUACUGGGGUGACGGAAUUUCCAGUGUCUGCACUCUGGUGUCUGAUGGAGCCUUGGCGUCCGACACUAACUACUCCGCCAGGCUCCCUGCCUACAGGAUGCAGAACAUCAGCCCACGAGGGAGGAAGUGGGGUAUGGCCCCGUGGCUGCUUAUGUAGACUUUUUAUCCCAGAGCUCCUGUGGCUGCCUGAGCACCAGCCCUGUGGUUUUGUACACACAAAACCUGAAAACACAAAAACACGUGCACAGCAAAGCCUGAACCAAAUGGCACAACCCACACAAGCUUAUCAGAAUUGGGCAAAACCCAUUAAGCUUAGAAGACAAGGGCCACUGUAGCUGUCCAGCGUAGAACUUCUUCUCAACUUCAAAGACAUGUCCUUGAAAUUUCAGCCCACUCAUUACUGAGUGGGCCCGUUUUGCUCUAGGGAAAACACAUUUUGAAAAUUGCCAAAAAGUCGGAAGAAAUGUACUACUGUAUAAAGCAAAGCUGUAUAUACUAAGUAAGCAUUUUUAGCAGAGGAAUAUUUAUUUGCAUAGCCUAUUUAUUUGUAUUCGUAUCACGCUGUUAUUAAACAUCAGGAUGAAAUCAAUGACCAGAAGCAAGGACUCUUGCCUUUGGACGUCUCAUUGCUUAGGACUGCCAUGAUGCUGUCAGCUUGGGAUAACAAUUAGAAGAUAGAAAGCCCACAGGCCGGGCAUCUACCUAACUUCUCAGGGACUACACCUCGUAGUUUUCCACCAUUAUAAGAGCUGGUAAAUAUGAAACAUUCGUUGACUUACCAGACUGCCAUUGACAGUGUUUGAUUUUUUUUUCUCAUAGUUCAUGCUCUCUGCCUCUGUGUAUAUGACUGUGCUGUGUAUUUAUCAAAGUAGGAAGCAAUAAUUUAUAUGUAAAAAAAAUGGCCAAGCAAUAUAAGGUUAAAACUUACGUAAGUAACCAUUACCUUAUCUUGUAUUUUCAAGUGUUUUUUAAAUCUGCUUUUCCAAAUAUAACACUAUGUUAAACAU
rnacentral:lncRNA from 1 species